AUACGUAGGGGGCGAGCGUUGUCCGGAAUGAUUGGGCGUAAAGGGCGCGUAGGCGGCCCGGUAAGUCUGGAGUGAAAGUCCUGUUUUUAAGAUGGGAAUUGCUUUGGAUACUGUCGGGCUUGAGUGCAGGAGAGGUAAGUGGAAUUCCCAGUGUAGCGGGGAAAUGCGUAGAGAUUGGGAGGAACACCAGUGGCGAAGGCGACUUACUGGACUGUAACUGACGCUGAGGCGCGAAAGUGUGGGGAGCAAACAGGAUUAGAUACCCUGGUAGUCCACACCGUAAACGAUGAAUGCUAGGUGUAGGGGGUAUCGACCCCUUCUGUGCCGCAGUCAACACAAUAAGCAUUCCGCCUGGGGAGUACGGCCGCAAGGUUGAAACUCAAAUGAAUUGACGGGG
rnacentral:rRNA from 1 species